GAGUUUGAUCAUGGCUCAGAUUGAACGCUGGCGGCAUGCCUUACGCAUGCAAGUCGAACGGCAGCACGGGAGCUUGCUCCUGGUGGCGAGUGGCGAACGGGUGAGUAAUGCAUCGGAACGUAUCCUGGAGUGGGGGAUAACGUAGCGAAAGUUACGCUAAUACCGCAUAUUCUGUGAGCAGGAAAGCGGGGGACCUUCGGGCCUCGCGCUCUUGGAGCAGCCGAUGUCGGAUUAGCUAGUUGGUGAGGUAAAGGCUCACCAAGGCGACGAUCCGUAGCAGGUCUGAGAGGAUGAUCUGCCACACUGGAACUGAGACACGGUCCAGACUCCUACGGGAGGCAGCAGUGGGGAAUUUUGGACAAUGGGGGCAACCCUGAUCCAGCCAUGCCGCGUGAGUGAAGAAGGCCUUCGGGUUGUAAGUACGUCUUUCGUCGAGGGAA
rnacentral:rRNA from 1 species